UAGUCGAGCACCUACCGACCUGAAUGGGGGAGGUGCCGGAGAAGACAACCUGGAUCGGGGAAGGGUUAAGGCGAGCUCGCGCGCUAUGCUAAUCCCGAGCAGAGCUUUUGGGGGAGCGAAUCCACGAUACAGCCUGUGUAGAGCGCGGGAAAGGUGUCGGCCCAACUCAAGCAGUUGGCUUAAGGGGACGUGCCAUUCCCACCCGAAAGGGUGGCUGCCAGCAGGAGCGCCCAUCACGCGAAUCCUGGCAGGCCUCCGAGCGCGCGCUCGGGGGCGUUAACAAACAAGGCCAGCAGCCGCGGUAAUUCCAGCUCCAAUAGCGUAUAUUAAAGUUGUUGCAGUUAAAAAGCUCGUAGUUGAACCUUGGGCCUGGCUGGCCGGUCCGCCUCACCGCGUGUACUGGUCCGGCCGGGCCUUUCCUUCUGGAGAACCUCAUGCCCUUCACUGGGUGUGCUGGGGAACCAGGACUUUUACUUUGAAAAAAUUAGAGUGUUCAAAGCAGGCCUUUGCUCGAAUACGUUAGCAUGGAAUAAUAGAAUAGGACGUGCGGUCCUAUUUUGUUGGUUUCUAGGACCGCCGUAAUGAUUAAUAGGGAUAGUCGGGGGCGUCAGUAUUCAAUUGUCAGAGGUGAAAUUCUUGGAUUUAUUGAAGACUAACUACUGCGAAAGCAUUCGCCAAGGAUGUUUUCAUUAAUCAGUGAACGAAAGUUAGGGGAUCGAAGACGAUCAGAUACCGUCGUAGUCUUAACCGUAAACUAUGCCGACUAGGGAUCGGGCGAUGUUUCUCUAUUGACUCGCUCGGCACCUUACGAGAAAUCAUAAG
rnacentral:rRNA from 1 species